CAUGAAUGCAGAAAUGAAUGACUCAUCGAAUGCCAGUGUUGCUCAGUCUCUCUUUGAAACACCAAUAUCUGAGCAAACCCAAGCUGGCACUUUGGACUUGGUGGAGUGAUAUCAGCUUUGCCCAGGAGAAAAGCAGCUCAAGGUUAAGAAAAGUGCUGGCAUCAGGGAGAGUGAGCAGUAGUCAGUGGAAAUUCAACUAGAAUGACUUUGAUAUUAAACUUAGAGGAGCUAUAAUUGCACAUCGAUCAUCUUUGACUGUCCUACAUCGACUGCUCACAGUAAGUAAAAAAACCACAU
rnacentral:lncRNA from 1 species